AUUCAGACAAACUCCGAAUGCCAAUUAAUUUAACUUGGGAGUCAGAACAUGGGUGAUAAGGUCCGUGUUCGAAAGGGAAACAGCCCAGACCACCAGCUAAGGUCCCAAAAUAUAUGUUAAGUGGAAAAGGAUGUGGCGUUGCCCAGACAACUAGGAUGUUGGCUUAGAAGCAGCCAUCAUUUAAAGAGUGCGUAAUAGCUCACUAGUCGAGUGACACUGCGCCGAAAAUGUACCGGGGCUAAACAUAUUACCGAAGCUGUGGAUUGUCCUUUGGACAAUGGUAGGAGAGCGUUCUAAGGGCGUUGAAGCAUGAUCGUAAGGACAUGUGGAGCGCUUAGAAGUGAGAAUGCCGGUGUGAGUAGCGAAAGACGGGUGAGAAUCCCGUCCACCGAUUGACUAAGGUUUCCAGAGGAAGGCUCGUCCGCUCUGGGUUAGUCGGGUCCUAAGCUGAGGCCGACAGGCGUAGGCGAUGGAUAACAGGUUGAUAUUCCUGUACCAC
rnacentral:rRNA from 1 species